UACGGGGGGGGCAAGCGUUGUUCGGAAUUACUGGGCGUAAAGGGCUCGUAGGCGGCCAACUAAGUCAGACGUGAAAUCCCUCGGCUUAACCGGGGAACUGCGUCUGAUACUGGAUGGCUUGAGUUUGGGAGAGGGAUGCGGAAUUCCAGGUGUAGCGGUGAAAUGCGUAGAUAUCUGGAGGAACACCGAUGGCGAAGGCGGCAUCCUGGACCAUUACUGACGCUGAGGCGCGAAAGCUAGGGGAGCAAACGGG
rnacentral:rRNA from 1 species